rnacentral:piRNA from 1 species
CAAAGCAUUAUCUGAAUUUUC